GAUGAAGAACGCAGCGAAAUGCGAUAAGUAAUGUGAAUUGCAGAAUUCAGUGAAUCAUCGAAUCUUUGAACGCACCUUGCGCCCUUUGGACAUUCCGGAGGGCAUGCCUGUUUGAGUAUCAUGAACACCUCAACUCUCACGGCUUGUCCGUGAUGAGCUUGGACUUUGGGGGUCUUGCCGGCCUGUGGUCGGCUCCUCUCAAAUGGAUCAGCUUGCCAGUGUUUGGUGGCAUCACAGGUGUGAUAACUAUCUGCGCUUGUGGUUUUCCAUCAGAUAACCUUCAGUGAUAUGGAGGUUCGCUGGAGCUCACAAAUGUCUCUCCUUAGUGAGGACAGCUCUUUGAACGUUUGAUCUCAAAUCAGGUAGGACUACCCGCUGAACUUAAGCAUAUCAAUAAGCGGAGGA
rnacentral:misc_RNA from 1 species